UAGGGAAUCUUCGGCAAUGGACGGAAGUCUGACCGAGCAACGCCGCGUGAGUGAAGAAGGUUUUCGGAUCGUAAAGCUCUGUUGUAAGAGAAGAACGAGUGUGAGAGUGGAAAGUUCACACUGUGACGGUAUCUUACCAGAAAGGGACGGCUAACUACGUGCCAGCAGCCGCGGUAAUACGUAGGUCCCGAGCGUUGUCCGGAUUUAUUGGGCGUAAAGCGAGCGCAGGCGGUUAGAUAAGUCUGAAGUUAAAGGCUGUGGCUUAACCAUAGUACGCUUUGGAAACUGUUUAACUUGAGUGCAAGAGGGGAGAGUGGAAUUCCAUGUGUAGCGGUGAAAUGCAUAGAUAUAUGGAGGAACACCAGUGGCGAAGGCGACUCUCUGGUCUGUAACUGACGCUGAGGCUCGAAAGCGUGGGUAGCAAACAGGAUUAGAUACCCUGGUAGUCCACGCCGUAAACGAUGAGUGCUAAGUGUUGGAGGGUUUCCGCCCUUCAGUGCUGCAGUUAACGCAUUAAGCACUCCGCCUGGGGAGUACGACCGCAAGGUUG
rnacentral:rRNA from 1 species